AGAACGAACGCUGGCGGCAGGCCUAACACAUGCAAGUCGAACGCUCGUAGCAAUACGGGAGUGGCGCACGGGUGAGUAACGCGUGGGCACCUGCCCGGUGGUUUGGGAUAACCGUGGGAAACUGCGGCUAAUACCGGAUACGCCCCUAGGGGGAAAGAUUUAUCGCCAUCGGAUGGGCCCGCGUAGGAUUAGCUAGUUGGUGAGGUAACGGCUCACCAAGGCUACGAUCCUUAGCUGGUCUGAGAGGAUGAUCAGCCACACUGGGACUGAGACACGGCCCAGACUCCUACGGGAGGCAGCAGUGGGGAAUAUUGGACAAUGGGGGCAACCCUGAUCCAGCCAUGCCGCGUGAGUGAAGAAGGCCUUCGGGUUGUAAAGCUCUUUUGGCGGGACGAUGAUGGACGGUACCGCAGAAUAAGCCCCGGACUAACUUCGUCGCCAGCAGCCGC
rnacentral:rRNA from 1 species